rnacentral:rRNA from 2 species
GCAGUCGAACGCACUCUCGUUUAGAUUGAAGGAGCUUGCUCCUGAUUGAUAAACAUUUGAGUGAGUGGCGGACGGGUGAGUAACACGUGGGUAACCUGCCCUAAAGUGGGGGAUAACAUUUGGAAACAGAUGCUAAUACCGCAUAAAACCUAACACCGCAUGGUGUAGGGUUGAAAGAUGGUUUCGGCUAUCACUUUAGGAUGGACCCGCGGUGCAUUAGUUAGUUGGUGAGGUAAAGGCUCACCAAGACCGUGAUGCAUAGCCGACCUGAGAGGGUAAUCGGCCACACUGGGACUGAGACACGGCCCAGACUCCUACGGGAGGCAGCAGUAGGGAAUCUUCCACAAUGGACGAAAGUCUGAUGGAGCAACGCCGCGUGAGUGAAGAAGGUUUUCGGAUCGUAAAACUCUGUUGUUGGAGAAGAAUGUAUCUGAUAGUAACUGAUCAGGUAGUGACGGUAUCCAACCAGAAAGCCACGGCUAACUACGUGCCAGCAGCCGCGGUAAUACGUAGGUGGCAAGCGUUGUCCGGAUUUAUUGGGCGUAAAGCGAGCGCAGGCGGUUUCUUAAGUCUGAUGUGAAAGCCUUCGGCUCAACCGAAGAAGUGCAUCGGAAACUGGGAAACUUGAGUGCAGAAGAGGACAGUGGAACUCCAUGUGUA